UAUUUUACUCUCUUUCAGGAGCGUUGUGGUGCCCUCUGGUCAAUAUUUGUUCUUUAGUUUCAACAUCUUUAAAAGCGUUAAAACCCUCCCUGUUAAAUAUUCUCCAGAAACGCAACCCUGGUCAGGACAGGAAAUAUUUUAGCAGCCUCGGUGGUCGCCUGCUUACUCCGUGGCACUUCCCUGAAACCACUUUGAAAAACACCUACCGAUUGUUUAUGAUGCAAUUUUAUUUCAAACCCAUGUUGGAAUUUUCAUUUAUUUUCAAAACAGCUAAGGUCGGUUGUUUUGUUGGCUGGGGAGUAGACAAAGGAGAGAAGAGUAAACAACAUUCUAUAACUUCAGUAGCCAAUUGAAUCAAAACAGUGUGACUAGUUUAGGUAUUUUCCUGUGUGAUGGCACAAUUUACUGACCCUGUUUUUCUCUUUCUGUUCGAAGUUAGAGUUCCACUCGUUUGAUCAAAGCAGCCAAUCAAAGGAUGAGAAUGACGGAAUGAGAAUUCAUGAUGUGGCAAAGAAGUAUCUCUUCUUGAGAUUCUUUCCAUACAAUAUCGAUUGUGUCUCCAUGGCCUAAAUUGGAAAGAUUCGAGAUCAAUUUGGGCCAUUUUGCUGCAGCCCGACCUGAAAUAAGAGGAGAUCGGGGAAGAGGAAGGUGGCUGCCAAACAGAAAUAAGGAGUUGAUUGGUUCUCAGACCAAUCCUUUAUCUAUAGGGCAUUAGGGCUAAUUCUGAGCAUCCUGAAAAGAUGACAUCUGUGGCUUCCUUCCCCCCUGCUUCUCCAUCUUUUUCCCACCUUCCCCUUCACUCUUGCACCCAUUUGAGUCCCAGCAGUGUCUGGGGAGCCAACGGUGAUGCAUUUAACUCCUAACCGCCGCAGAGCUAGGAAAGCCUGUUUCUGGACAACAAGCUGACUAGGAAAUCUUCUGAUUGGGCCAGUUUUAUAGAAGACUGUGUAAUCCCAAACAGCUCAAAUAAGUUCUGCUUCAGAUCGUCUCCUGCAGGACCCUAUGGGGUAUAUAUCUAUGCACCCUGGGUGGGAAAGGAUUUUAGGGCACCUCUCUAUCUCCUGCCCAAUACUUGGAUCCCCUCUUCGGCAUUCCAGAGGAGAGGUCUUCCAGUUUUUGCUCCAGGUUCUUUAGUGAUAGAGAGCUCCUAGCUUAGCCCAGUUGCCUUUGGACAGUUAUUCCUGCCAGAAACGUUCUCCUAAUACCCCCUGGCCUUGCAGCCAUUUCUCCUAGAACACAUUCUGGUGGCCCUUGCACACACUGUAGGUUGAAUAAUGAAGGGUAUUUCAGUUCAUUUCGAUGAUGGUUUUGAUGCAGCAACAAGUUUUCAUUUAUUUGUUGGGUGUUUAAAGGUUGUUUCAGAGUAAAAAUUUGAGGUGAAAAAAGAAAAAAGAAAGUUGGUGUAACCAUUCCUCUGCCCCUCCUCUUUUAAUGAUAAAUCAUGGACCUUAGUGCUCCAGAUACCAGCAGAGGAAAACAGUUUACUUUGGCAUUCUUUCUAGGAUUUCUUCAUGAUUACAAAUAAGUUAAUUCAGGUCAACUGAUGUUCUUAACUUCAGUACUUUGGAAAAAAUCCUCAUACAUUAACUUUUCAAAUAUGUGUAUAUGUAAAGUCAAAAGGAAAAAUGUUCAUAGUGAAUAUCUCUGUGAGAUAGGAUUAGGGACGCUGAAAGAUUUUUUCUUUGCGCCUUUUUGUAUUUUUAAAAUUUUCUAUGAUGAAAACGUGAAUCAGAAAAUAAAGCAAAUAUUUCCUUUACAAAUAUUUUUCUUGCUCCUUUUCCUGUAGGUAAAAUUAUGUUUUAAAUUACAUCUUAUAGAUCGUAUAUAAUGUACACAAAAUUUCAUUCAUUUCCUUGCCAUGCUUCAUGGAGAGACAGACCAUGUUUCUUUCAUUCAUCUUUGUACCUGUCCCCAUUCUCCCCACUUUUCCACUGGGUAUAUCAAGAGACUUGUUCAUAGUAGGUGCUUAAUCAAUAGAUAUAAUUUCUUUUACUGAAAUUAGUCACUCUAUGCAAACUCCAUAAAACAUUUAUUUUUAAAGACCUGUUCAGAGUUCACCCUUUCUAAUAUAUAAUUCCUCAGGAUUUAGUACUUGUAGCACAGGUGGCUACUUGGCCUUUCACCAGAAAAUUUGCAGUCCCCUUCCAUGUUGUAAAGUUGGGGACUACCAGUCUGCCAGCCCCUGCCUUCCCCGUCCCCACUUCCCGAAGCUCUGUAAGGCCACGAGCCUUCUGGCCAGCGGAAGGGGCUGUGUCACUCCCAGGCAGAGCUCAGAAAAGCUGCCCGUUCAAUUGUUCACAUCCUCUCUUUUCUUCUCUUAUCUGCCAGGGUCCCCACUGGUGACUGACUUUAUGUGAAUGAGAGAUGAGCUUCCACUGGAUGAAGCUACUGAGAUUUGAGAGGUUACCUGUAACAGAAGUUGCUGUUACCUUAACCUUCACAGCAUCAAACACAUCACUAACUCCUAAAAAAGACUGAAAAGGGUUUUACCAUAACUCACAGAACUAAUGCAAGACAUUUGUGUCCUUACCCUCAUGAAAAUUAAGCACUAGCAACCAGCUCCAUUUUAUACAAAGUAACAUUUAUACCCACAUCUGGACCGAGGCCAAGAAAAAUGAAAAACAAGGAAGUGGAGCAGCAUUUAUCUUCUGACUGCAUUUAAAAGAUGUCAAAAUAAUUGGUUGAAAAAUGGAAAGGUUAGUCAGUCCAUGUUUUCAGGUACAAAGAGAUAAAUUAAUUUUUUCAAUACGGUGUUCUCAGUGGUUGCAGUCAUCAGACCAUCACAUCAAUUUGGAUAAAAAUAAUAUGGUUUUCACCAACCAAAUUGUCUCUGAGAUACCUGGUUAUACCCCCAAUUAAGUGCAGGCACAGGGCUUUCAUGAGAGCAAAUGUGCAGAUGGAAGGGUCCUGUGCAGUUGGCUGCCAGAUGUGCCUGAAAUUCCUACCUACAGGGGGUCCUUUCCAUGAUGGGUAAUUAUAGGAACAGAUAAUCUGGCUAAGGUGGAACUGAAGAGUGGGUUCAGUAUAAUAAUGUGAAAUACACUUAAUUAGCCCAGGAUAUUGUUGAUUUCUGUGUUGGUGCUUCUACCUCGUAGGCAUAUGUUUUGGCUAUUGUAUAAGCAUAACUUCCUGUAGAAGUCAUUAACUGCAGCAAAAAAAUUUAACAAUGAUGGAAUUAGAAAUUACGCGUGCUCAUUUAUGUAGAGUACUACUGAAAACUUGUUUAAGCAGAAAGUUUAAGGAAGUUAAAUCAUUCUUUGUGGAUUUUUAAAAAGAUUGUCUGGAAUUUUUAUUUCACUCUUGUAUUAGUAUUUAACAUUUUAUGAUAUUUGUCUAGAUUUCAAAAUCUUCAAAGAAAGAGUCUUUGUAUAUCUCCCUCUAGCAUCAAGUACGAAGUCUAGUUCACCUCAUGUGCACAUUUUUUAAUUGAGCCAUAUUUAAACUGGUAGUUUUAGAGUAGGUUACUAUCACUUGCUGGCUAUGACCUUGGGCAAGCUAACUUAAUUUCUGUGUGCCUCAGUUUCUCACCUGUAAAAUGAUAAUGGUACCUACCUUAUAAGAUUGUAAAAAUUAAAUGAGAUAGGCCAGUCACGGUGGCUCACUCCUGUAAUCCCAGCACUUUGGGAGGCUGAGGUGGGAGGAUCACCUGAGGUCGGUAGUUCAAGACCAGCCUGACCAACAUGGAGAAACCCCGUCUCUACUAAAAAUACAAAAUUAGCUGGGCAUGGUGGCGCAUGCCUGUAAUCCCAGCUACUUGGGAGGCUGAGGCAGGAGAAUCACUUGAACCCGGGAGGUGGAGGUUGUGGUGAGCGGAGAUCAUGCCAUUGCACUCCAGCCUGGGCAACAAGAGUGAAACUUUGUCUCAAAAAAACGCCCCAAAAAUUAAAUAAGAUAAUAUAUGUAAGGAUCUUAGGAGGGUACCUGUCACAGAGUAUAUAUUUUGUAUGUUAUCUAUUCUUAUUAUCCUUUUAUUAUUACCAGGUGGUUUACAUUUCUUAAAAAAAUUCUAUGUAAAUGCAGUGGAGUUUUC
rnacentral:lncRNA from 1 species